rnacentral:ncRNA from 2 species
GAAUGCUUGACGGGGUGCCGGUGAAUCCGGCUGAGAUGGCGCAGGGCGUAGCAAUUUUGCCGCCAAGCGCUGGUCCCGCUGAACCUGAUCCGGCUAAUGCGCUGCUUUUGAUGUAGCGCGGGUACCGGCGUAGGGAUCAAGCGAUGGCGCCGG